rnacentral:rRNA from 1 species
GACGAACGCUGGCGGCGUGCCUAAUACAUGCAAGUUGAGCGAUGAAGAUUGGUGCUUGCCCCAAUUUGAAGAGCAGCGAACGGGUGAGUAACGCGUGGGGAAUCUGCCUUUGAGCGGGGGACAACAUUUGGAAACGAAUGCUAAUACCGCAUAACAACUUUAAACAUAAGUUUUAAGUUUGAAAGAUGCAAUUGCAUCACUCAAAGAUGACCCCGCGUUGUAUUAGCUAGUUGGUGAGGUAAAGGCUCACCAAGGCGAUGAUACAUAGCCGACCUGAGAGGGUGAUCGGCCACAUUGGGACUGAGACACGGCCCAAACGCCUACGGGAGGCAGCAGUAGGGAAUCUUCGGCAAUGGACGAAAGUCUGACCGAGCAACGCCGCGUGAGUGAAGAAGGUUUUCGGAUCGUAAAACUCUGUUGGUAGAGAAGAACGUUGGUGAGAGUGGAAAGCUCAUCAAGUGACGGUAACUACACAGAAAGGGACGGCUAACUACGUG